rnacentral:rRNA from 1 species
UACGUAGGGUGCGAGCGUUAAUCGGAAUUACUGGGCGUAAAGCGUGCGCAGGCGGUUUUGUAAGUCAGAUGUGAAAUCCCCGGGCUUAACCUGGGAACUGCGUUUGAAACUACAAGGCUAGAGUGUAGCAGAGGGGGGUGGAAUUCCACGUGUAGCAGUGAAAUGCGUAGAGAUGUGGAGGAACACCGAUGGCGAAGGCAGCCCCCUGGGUUAACACUGACGCUCAGGCACGAAAGCGUGGGGAGCAAACAGGAUUAGAAACCCCGUAGUCC